rnacentral:lncRNA from 1 species
AAGUAAAUCCUGCGGGGACCACCUCCAAGGAAAGUUUACCGAAAAUUCGGCAUAACCUCCCUUGGAAAUGGAUAACCCUUCCUAAUAAUACAUGCAAACACUUCUGAAAAUCCAAAUCCCAAAUUAAACAAUUCAUUGGCUCAGAGCAACUCUAAAAGGAACAAAAGAAAUAGAAAAACAAAUAAGCGGAAGCUAUAAUACGAACUAUGCCUUGACUUCAAGUACGCCCGACCUCAACUAAGCUAACUUGUAAGUUGGGCAUUUUUAAAACGAAAAGCCCAAGGGAAAACAUUUGAAACCGUUAGAGUGAGUGGACAAAACUAAAUUCAAUAAAAAUAUUUACGCAUUCCCAUUUAGUUUCCAUAGAAAUUAUGAUGCAUGCAACAAGCUCAAAAACUCUCAACUCAUAAACUGACAAUAACACGACUAGCUUCGGCUAGUCUCCAAAACUUUAUAAAAUAGAGCCUCUCAGGUUAAAAUAUAUGUAUGUAUUUACACACGUCCAUACUCCCUAUAUAAAUUCAUGGGUCUAUAUAGGGCUACUACGCUCGCGUCCAACGCUCACGUCACGCCUUAAUGCGGUGCUACACUACGCCAUUAAGGUGGACAGACGGGUGUAUAAAUAUGUGUCCAUACCCCCUAUAUGAAUUAAGCACUCAUAUAGGGCUACUACGCUCAUGUCCAACGCUCACGUCACACCAUAAUGCGGCUAUAUGCUACGCCAUUAAGGUGGACAGACACAUAUGGCUAGCUAGCAUUUAUAUACAUACUCUCCUCAUCAAUAUAUAAUUAUAUUCACCGAAAAUCCCAUUUUCGGUAACUCUUCAAAAGAAAUAAAAUCGUCAAAAUAAAAUGACGUCAAAUGCUCCAACAAAAUAAAUUGCUCAAAAAUCAAUUAUUGCAUGCAUAUUAUUUAAAACAAAAGUCCACUCACAGUAUCAGGCCUUAGCCUUCCAAUGCUCGCAAUACUCCUCGAGCGCUGCCUCCAACUAAUCACACUCUCUAGCCAAUCCCACGUCU